UACAGAGGUCUCAAGCGUUGUUCGGAUUCAUUGGGCGUAAAGGGUGCGUAGGUGGCGCGGUAAGUCGGGUGUGAAAUCUCGGAGCUUAACUCCGAAAUUGCAUUCGAUACUGCCGUGCUCGAGGACUGGAGAGGAGACUGGAAUUCAUGGUGUAGCAGUGAAAUGCGUAGAGAUCAUGAGGAAGACCAGUGGCGAAGGCGGGUCUCUGGACAGUACCUGACACUGAGGCACGAAGGCCAGGGGAGCAAACGGG
rnacentral:rRNA from 1 species